UGGGGAAUAUUGGGCAAUGGGGGAAACCCUGACCCAGCAACGCCGCAUGAAGGAAGAAGGCUUUCGGGUUGUAAACUUCUUUUACCAGGGACGAAAAAAUGACGGUACCUGGAGAAUAAGCCACGGCUAACUACGUGCCAGCAGCCGCGGUAAUACGUAGGUGGCAAGCGUUGUCCGGAUUUACUGGGUGUAAAGGGCGCGUAGGCGGGAUGGCAAGUCAGAUGUGAAAUAUGAGGGCUUAACCCUCAAACUGCAUUUGAAACUGCUGUUCUUGAGUGAUGGAGAGGCAAGCGGAAUUCCUAGUGUAGCGGUGAAAUGCGUAGAUAUUAGGAGGAACACCAGUGGCGAAGGCGGCUUGCUGGACAUUAACUGACGCUGAGGCGCGAAAGCGUGGGGAGCAAACA
rnacentral:rRNA from 1 species